GGGGGCGACCUGGUUUCGACAGGGGUCACGAAGUGGCUUGGUGCAUGUCAAGGUCCAGUCACCUUGUAAAUCCGCUGGAAACAAAAUAAACGCCAACAAUAAGCGUUUCGCUCUCGCCGCCUAAUUAAGGCGAGGACCACACCGGUUUGCCUCUAGACCGGGCCGGUUCGCCGGCAGUGGUUUCAUACUCAUACAGGCUGGAUGCGACCGAGGACACUGCGGGCGCGUCGAGAUUUAAGAGUGUCUGGUUUCGUCAGAGCCGGCUAAAGGGCGCAAAGCGAAAUAAGAUUUUUUAAAUGUUUUAGCUAAACAUGUAGAUCCAGCUAUGGACGAUUUCUGGACGCGGGUUCAAUUCCCGCCGCCUCCACCA
rnacentral:tmRNA from 1 species